rnacentral:rRNA from 1 species
AGUGAACGCUGGCGGUAGGCCUAACACAUGCAAGUCGAACGGCAGCACAGUAAGAGCUUGCUCCUACGGGUGGAGGGGGGCGGACUGGUGCGGAAUGCACCGGAAUGUAGUUUAUCGUGGGGGAAAACGUAGGGAAACUCACGCUAAUACCUGAUAAGACCUACGGGUGAAAGCAGGGGAACUUUGGACCUUGCGCGUUUGAAUGAGCCGAUGUCGGAUUAGCUAGUUGGCGGGGUAAAGGCCCACCAAGGCGACGAUCCGUAGCUGGUCUGAGAGGAUGACCAGCCACACUGGAACUGAGACACGGUCCAGACUCCUACGGGAGGCAGCAGUGGGGAAUAUUGGACAAUGGGCGCAAGCCUGAUCCAGCCAUACCGCGUGGGUGAAGAAGGCCUUCGGGUUGUAAAGCCCUUUUGUUGGGAAAGAAAAGCAGCAGGUUAAUACCCCGCUGUUCUGACGGUACCCAAAGAAUAAGCACCGGCUAACUUCGUG